GGUGUGCAAUGGCCUGAUCGCAGCUCACUGCAACCACCAUCUCCUCAGUUCAAGUGGUUUUUCUGCCUCAGCCUUCCAAGUACUGGGAUUACAGGUGCCUGCCACCUCCAUUAUCUUUUUACUGCACAAAUUAAAAUCUCCUUGCCCUCUACUGGACCUGGCUGGCAAUUGCCAUAUUUACUGAUUUGAGCCCAGGCAGUGUUUUUAAGUGAUAUAAAUUAAUGGUGAAGAUUUAAAAGAAUAUUUUGCACCAAAAUCCAGGUUUCUGGCAUCUAUUGAAAAAUCCAAAGACUUAGCAACUCCACCGAGGCUCCCAUAAAAUCGCAGUUGUUGGGAGUUGGGCCGGAGCCAGAACUCCCAACUUCCUGUGGCCCAGCCACUCAUCCCAUCAGCUCCUGACCAAGCAACACUUGCCAUUCAUCAUGGCUUGCUUUUAGUGUUUUUGACGUUUAUCUUGAAGUACAGCAAAGAAGAAAGGGAGCUUUUUCUUGAACCCAUGUCUCUGUCAAAACAGGCCUUGCAUCUUUCCUGUCUUUAGGUAUGAGCCAUCUUUACUGUCUUUUAAGUAUGUGCCAUCAUGGGUAGAAGGAGCUAGGCCAGGAACAUCUGGCGUUAAUUUGUAGCCAGCAGCAACCAUACCCACCUGUAUUGCCAAGCUCUGCAUGGAAUCCCCCCCAUCACCUCACUACUCCAUUAUUCAUCUACCACUAAUUCCUCUGUGGGCAGAGUCCAGUCAUGGGCAGCUCCUGCCCUGCUUCUGGUCAGGACAACACCUGCCCGAGGGGAGCAAGGACCUGUGACCUCUUUGGCCUGUGCGCCCUGGCCUGUCACCCAGCUCAGCCCUCUCUGGCCUACCCAGGGAGGAAGAAACCCGAUUUACCACUUGAAAGGAGGUAGAAGUUUUGGCGAAAAGAUGCUGUUCGGGUGCCAAGUGAAGUAAUGAACUGAUUCAUUCCAACCUCUUCUCUAAUCCGACCCCACCAAGGUCUGCCCUCUCUGAGCUUUUCUGGGGUGGGUUGACUUGUGUGCCACCUUAUCACAGGGGCACAUGGGUUUGGAAGAGACACGUUGGCAGUAGGAGCUACCUUUGUACCAGGUUUUAAUUCCCAGUGUACAUCCCAGUCCCCUCCCCUAACCCUCAGCACAGCCCAGGGAAAGCUCAGCUUGCAACACCUGUUCUCAGCCCAGACUGACAGCCAGAUCUUGGCCCUGAGUUUGCCAAUUAAAGGUGCCAUGAUUACUACCU